UACAGAGGGUGCGAGCGUUGUCCGGAAUCACUGGGCGUAAAGGGCGCGUAGGCGGCUUGGUAAGUAGGGGGUGAAAUCUUGCGGCUCAACUGCAAGGCUGCCUCUUAAACUGCCUGGCUGGAGCACGGUAGAGGCAGAUGGAAUUCCACGUGUAGCGGUGAAAUGCGUAGAGAUGUGGAGGAACACCGAUGGCGAAGGCAGCCUCCUGGGCCAAUACUGACGCUCAGGCACGAAAGCGUGGGGAGCAAACAGG
rnacentral:rRNA from 1 species